rnacentral:rRNA from 1 species
UACGGGAGGAGCAGUGGGGAAUAUUGCACAAUGGGCGCAAGCCUGAUGCAGCCAUGCCGCGUGUAUGAAAAAGGCCUUCGGGUUGUAAAGUACUUUCAGUCGUGAGGAAGGUGUUAAGGUUAAUAACCUUAGCAAUUGACGUUAGCGACAGAAGAAGCACCGGCUAACUCCGUGCCAGCAGCCGCGGUAAUACGGAGGGUGCGAGCGUUAAUCGGAAUUACUGGGCGUAAAGGGCACGCAGGCGGUUAAUUAAGUUGGAUGUGAAAUCCCCGGGCUUAACCUGGGAAUGGCAUUCAAGACUGGUUAGCUAGAGUCUUGUAGAGGGGGUAGAAUUCCAUGUGUAGCGGUGAAAUGCGUAGAGAUGUGGAGGAUACCGGUGGCGAAGGCGGCCCCUGGACAAGACUGACGCUCAUGUGCGAAAGCGUGGGGAGCAAACAGGGAUUAGAUACC